UACGUAGGGUCCGAGCGUUAAUCGGAAUUACUGGGCGUAAAGCGUGCGCAGGCGGUUUUGUAAGCCAGAUGUGAAAGCCCCGGGCUUAACCUGGGAAUGGCAUUUGGGACUGCAAGGCUGGAGUACGGCAGAGGGAGGUGGAAUUCCAGGUGUAGCGGUGAAAUGCGUAGAUAUCUGGAGGAACACCGGUGGCGAAGGCGGCAUCCUGGACCGGUAUUGACGCUGAGGCGCGAAAGCUAGGGGAGCAAACGGG
rnacentral:rRNA from 1 species